UACGUAGGGGGCUAGCGUUAUCCGGAAUUACUGGGCGUAAAGGGUGCGUAGGUGGUUUCUUAAGUCAGAGGUGAAAGGCUACGGCUCAACCGUAGUAAGCCUUUGAAACUGGGAAACUUGAGUGCAGGAGAGGAGAGUGGAAUUCCUAGUGUAGCGGCGAAAUGCGUAGAGAUUAGGAAGAACACCAGUGGCGAAGGCGAUUCUCUGGACUGUAACUGACGCUGAGGCUCGAAAGCGUGGGGAGCAAACAGGAUUAGAUACCCCGGUAGUCCCUGAGCGGGCU
rnacentral:rRNA from 1 species